rnacentral:rRNA from 1 species
UACGUAGGUGGCGAGCGUUGUCCGGAAUUACUGGGUGUAAAGGGCGCGUAGGCGGUUAUGUAAGUCAGGUGUGAAAUUCCACGGCUUAACUGUGGGUGUGCAUCUGAAACUACAUAUCUUGAGUACCGUAGAGGAAAGCGGAAUUCCCAGUGUAGCGGUGAAAUGCGUAGAGAUUGGGAAGAACACCAGUGGCGAAGGCGGCUUUCUGGACGAAAACUGACGCUGAGGCGCGAAAGCCAGGGGAGCGAACGGG